rnacentral:lncRNA from 1 species
GAAAUUUCAAUACAUCUUGACUCCACCUGCUCCGAUUAGAGAUUAUCACCUUAUGCCAGUGCUGGACAUAGUGCUGCGUGUCAUAGCUUUGAUAUACUCAGAGUUGUAGCAGAGAUGAUUCAGAAGAGGCAUCAAACAGAGGCAAAUAUUCUCUCAUCCUUCUAGCUGCUUCUAGGGUGGACUUGUCACUCUGAAAGUUGUCUCCACAAGAAAGGUUCCUUUUUGACAAGUGAAGAUGAGAGGAGCAAAUACUGCUGGUGGAUUCUCCAGCACAGAUCUUCACAUUCUGGAGAUUAUAGGAAAAGGAGCCCUGUGCCACCAUCUUCUGGUAAAAUCAAGGAAUGGACAAGACAGAUUUUGUCACUUGUUGAAGCUAGAAAGAUCAGUAUCUGGAUUGUUGUUGUGUCAGUAGGGAUUUUGAUUUUCUUUUGAAGUUUUACGUGCAGAGCUUUUUUACUGUCCUUCUAAUGCAGGAGCUAGGGACUCUCAACUACAGCAUGGAGAAGCCAGGUUCAAAGCCAACAAAAGGCAUUUCUGAACACAGCAGAAAGUGUAUGUAGAGUGGUACACUGCAAUGUGAUCCUGCAACCCCAAAGGAUUACAGCUCAAAAUGUUUCUCAUGCAUCUCUUCUCAGUGCUCUGCUGCAGGACAGAUCUGGGUACCACUGAGUGAGAACACUCAGACUCCAAGGAGUCCAAAUGAGCAUUGUUGAGCUAUCUCUUGCACUGCAAAACUUUUCUUGCUGAGAGAGGAC